UUUGGUGGUUUGACGGUGGGGCAACACCUCUUCCCAUUCCGAACAGAGCAGUUAAGCCCACUAGUGUCGAUGGUAUCCAUCUUUUGAUGGAGAGAGUAGAUAGCCGCCAAAA
rnacentral:rRNA from 1 species